ACGGGAGGCAGCAGUGGGGAAUAUUGCACAAUGGGGGAAACCCUGAUGCAGCGACGCCGCGUGAGUGAAGAAGUAUUUCGGUAUGUAAAGCUCUAUCAGCAGGGAAGAUAAUGACGGUACCUGACUAAGAAGCACCGGCUAAAUACGUGCCAGCAGCCGCGGUAAUACGUAUGGUGCAAGCGUUAUCCGGAUUUACUGGGUGUAAAGGGAGCGUAGACGGCAUGGCAAGUCUGAAGUGAAAGCCUGGGGCGCAACCCCGGAACUGCUUUGGAAACUGUUAAGCUAGAGUGCAGGAGAGGUAAGUGGAAUUCCUAGUGUAGCGGUGAAAUGCGUAGAUAUUAGGAGGAACACCAGUGGCGAAGGCGGCUUACUGGACUGUAACUGACGUUGAGGCUCGAAAGCGUGGGGAGCAAACAGGAUUAGAUACCCUGGUA
rnacentral:rRNA from 1 species